rnacentral:lncRNA from 1 species
CUGGGAUGGGCGUGAUAGGUGAGUAUUAAGGACGUGAGCAAGGGCAGAGAUUGGAUCGGAAGGCUCGGGGACGUUAGCCGGGGGCGGAGAAGGGGUUGGAGGAUCAGAGGGAGGAGGUGGUAAAUCAGUGGGAGGCGGGGCAGGAAUCGCGGAAUUAACCAGGGAGGUAACAGCAGAGAAGAGGGCGGAUAUCGAGCUAGACAGGUCAUUGGCCAUGGUUGAGUCAGGGGUCACCGGGGGAGGGGUCGGAGGGAUGGGAACAGGGGGCUGGGUCGCAACAGCGUGGGUAGAGGGUUGGGACGGCAAAUCAGUCGGGAGGGGAGGAGGCAACGAAGUAGAGGGGACCGGGAUAUCGGGAGGGGGUACCACUGGAGAAGGGGUUGGAGGGGUGGGAACGGGGGCCUGGGUCAGGGCGGUAAGGGCAGAGAUUAGGGACGGCAAAUCAGCCGAGGGAGGAGGCAACGAGGUAGAGGGGACCGAUAAGGGAGGGGUACCAUACUGAAAAGGGGGCUGGAGGCAAGGGAACGGGGCUGGGUCAGGGGCGUGUGGAGAGAUUAGGGACGCAACCCAGCCGCAGAGGGGAGGAGGCACCAGGGGUAGAGGGACCGGGAUAUCGGAGGGGUACCACUGAAAAGGGGCUGAGGGGUGUGGAACGGGCUGGCCACAGCGUGAGGGCAGAUUGGGGACGGCAAAUCAAAUGAGAGGGGAGGAGGCAACGAGGUAGAGGGGGCCGGGACUUCGGGAGGAGGAGGUAACACUGGAGAAGGGGUUGGAUGGGUGGUAACGGGGGGCUGGGUCAGGGCGGUGAGGGCAGAGAUUAGGGACGGCAAAUCAGCCGAGAGGGGAGGAGGCAACGAGGUAGAGGGGACCGGGAUAUCGGGAGGGGGUACCACUGGAGAAGGGGUUGGAGGGGUGGGAACGGGGGCUGGGUCAGGGCAGUAAAGGCAGAGAUUAGGGACGGCAAAUCAGCCGAGAGGGGAGGAGGCAACGAGGUAGAGGGGACCGGGAUAUCGGGAGGGGGUACCACUGGAGAAGGGGUUGGAGGGGUGGGAACGGGGGGCUGGGUCAGGGCGGUGAGGGCAGAGAUUAGGGACGGCAAAUCAGUCGGGAGGGGAGGGGACAACGAGGUAGAAGGGAGGUCCGGAGGCAUAAGGGAAGCGGGAUCAGCGGGAGGACAAGGGUCUGGAGGAUCUGGGGCGGUGGGGUGAGUAAGGUCGAGAGGGCAGAGAGCGGGGCAGCGGAUGGAGACGGGUGAGUGGGUAACACUGGGGAGGGGUCAGUCGAGGUGGAGAGGGGACGAGAGGCAAGCAUAGGUAAAGGUGGCGGAGGACAGGGAGGCGGAGGAAUGUCAUUUAACGUAAAGGAUGUUACUGUAAACAUAUGAUUUGUAACUAGCAAGAUUCUAUUAAGUAAAGAUACGAUGUUUAAAAAACUUGCAUUAUUUUGCAAUAUCCCUUGUUGCAAGACACAGGCAUUAAUGAAUAAACAUCAGGAUAAUUAGCUGUAAUGCUCUUAAAUUCGUGCCCCACAGAACUCAUUUGUAGGGCACACCACAGGUGCAAAUGAUUCUUUAGCAACCUCUUUCUUUUUUUUUCUUCUUUUUUUUUUAAACAUCACGGACACAUCUCUGAUACAGGGAAACAAAUGGCAUGAUUGUUUUAGUUAAUAUAACGUUUCAGUUUAUAAUAUGUAGAGCGUAAGGAAAACAAGACUCUACAUAGAACGAGCAUAAUAUGGGUAGGCCUCAUGAUGGAGGCAGCCAUGACAGGGGCGGGGAAGGAAAUGACAGCAAGGGAGGAAGUGAGGUGACGUCCAUGAUAGGUGUGGGAAAGGAAGACAGGAGGUGUGGGCAUGGUAAGGGCGGAAGUGACGUUACUUUAGAAGCAACCGUGACUGUAGAUAGGUCCUUCUGUACUAGGCGCCAUCUUUAGGGUGGUGGCUGACGUACUUUCAACAAUACACCAUAUUAUAACUAAUAAAAUAAGUCAGAGAGGCAACAUCCCGUUCUGCAAAAUGAAAAAUUAAACUAUGAACAGACCUGGCAGGUUAAAUAAGACAGUUGAGAACAUUAUGCAUUUAACAGCCCAUAAAGCUAUCCAUUGAAAAAUGUACUUUAACAUGAAGCAAGAUAAACUCACGGAAUUCAACCAAUUUCCCUUAACAUCCUCUAACCAUUAAUCACUUUCCUCCUCUUAUACAGACAUAACAACAUCGCAUAUUCCCCUUAACAAGCUACAAGCUACACCUUCCUAGAUCCCGUAUUCAACACUGAAUGCAAUCUUGUGAGCUCGUCACUCCCACAAUCCUCAGUACCUUAUCUCAAAACAUAAUUUAUAAGUAUAUAUAGCACUACGGAAUCUGUUGGCGCCAUCCAAAUGGCAACAAUAAAAAUAUUAUUACACAAUUAUAGCUCCAUAACCUGCCUGACAACGUCUAUGUAUGGAACAAUGUACACAAUACUACACAAUUAGAAUAUUCUCCAGCAAAAAAAUCCCGUUUCUAACUCUUAUCAGUAGCUACGAAAUGCAGGAAUGUAGGCAAGCGGGGAGUAGGGGUGGGAGAAAGUGUGACAGUGCAAAAAGGGGAGAGAGAGAAACUGCAGGCAUGAAGAUUAACCAUGUGAGCUCCGUAAAGUAACAAGACAGAAGGACAGAGAUUUAUACGUUUGGAAACCAGAAAUCUUUGCUAACUUUUUCAUUUUCAGCAUAGCUUCUUCCCCUGCCCUCUCUUUAACAAUAUCACAAGCCAAAUACCCCUUAGCUGGUCUAGUAUGUGCUUGCCCCUUUUUGACCAAGCGAGGUCUGCCAAGUAAAG